GAGGGUAUAGCUUAGUGGUAGUGUGUGCUUAGCACACACGAGGUCCUGGGUUCAAUCCCCAGUACCUCCA
rfam:Camelus ferus unplaced genomic scaffold scaffold473, whole genome shotgun sequence.